UCUGUUCUGCCCAGUGGCCUGGCGCAGGAAAGGUGACCCAGUAGUUCAGCCUGUCCCAGCUGCCUGCCCCAGCACCAUCCCAGACCCCUUUCCCUGGGGCCCACCUUGGCCCUGAGGAAGGCCAGAGCUCGGCUGCUGUUCUCCAGGAAGUGCACACGCAGGCGGCCCCGGCUCGGGGGUGGCAGGGCCUCCCCUGAGAUGAGCUCCAGCAGCCGCAGGAGGUGGAUGCCGUCAGCCAGCUCUGUGUACAGGUUCCGGAUCUUGAUGCCCGCCUGGGGAGGGGACAGGGGUAAGUAUGGGGUCAGCCCAGCCUCACCUGUCCUCCCAUCCUGGGACCUGAGAGACCCUCAGCCCAUGGAGUCCUGUGUGAUGUUGUGAGCGUGGGAGGACAGACUGAACUGCUCGGCCCGUGGAGUCCUGUGUGAUGUUGUGAGCGGGGAGGACAGACUGAACUGCGUGGUGCUUCGCACAUAGACCUCAACAGGGAUUGGCAUUUUGAAGCUGUUGGCGGGGGCUGUGGACUGCUUUUCUUCCUUUCUAGCUCAACGGCAGCUAAAGCCACUGCAUACAAUGCAAGGACUGGCUCCUGUUUGGCCACGACUGAUUGCAGCCCCUGGUGAAAUGAGAACCCUGUGGGUCGGAACAAAGUUUGGAUUAUUUAUGUUGCAAGUAACUAAAAUCUCAAGUGAAACUGGUUUAAACAUUAUAUUUUUAUUAUUUAUUUAUUUAUAUUUAAUUCUUUUUUAGAGACAGGGUCUUCUUAGGUUGCCCAGGCUGGUCUUGAACUCCUGGCCUCAACGAUCUUCCCACUUCAGCCUCCUGCAUUGCUGGGAUUAUAGGUGUGAGCCACCAUGCCUGGCUUACACAGUAUAAAGGGAAUGCAUUGGCCCACACAGUGGAAAAAAAUAUCUAGUAGGAAUAGGAAGGACUUCAGGUGAGGUUUGAUCCAGCAGCUCAAAUGUUGUCACCACAGGCCUGGAUUCCUCUGGCCUUUCUCAAGGUCUCUUUCAUUUUCAUGCUCCACAAGAUGGCUUCUGCCAGGCUGACCUCCCUCCCCUGACCCCAGCAGCUCUGGACACCCCUCUCAGUGCCAUUUAUAUUGUUGCAUCAAUAGGCUCAUUUCUAUAUACUGCAAGGUUCAGAGAAGACAGAGUAUCUCUCUCAAGAGUUCUAACAUAAGUCUGGGGGUCCUGGCUCUCAUAGGCUUGAACAGGGCCACAUGUCCAUUCCUGAGCCAAUAUUUGUGACCAAGGGGAUGUGGUCAAUCUCAUCCAAACCUCACUUGAAGUGAGGGUGGGAGGAGGAGUGCUCUGCAAGGAGACUGUAGGUCUGGACCACCAAAAAGGUAGAUGGGUUGGUGGGAAAAGCCAGAUGCCUACUAUGGUAGUGGGCGGGGGGAGGGCACACUGGCAAGGUACAGCAAGAGGCAGGGGCAGUGCUGGACAGGCAGGGGCUCCUCCCUAGCACGACUGGAGAAAGGACUCCUGUGAAGCGGUCACCUCCAUGAGUCCCUCCUGUCCUGGCUUCCAACCACUCUGAAGUGGGGCUUUUGUCCACAGACCUGGCCUCUGCUGCCUACCCUCUUCUGUCCCCACCUGAUGGGGCCGCUUUCCUUCUGAAGCGGCUGCAUUUUGGGUUUCUCUCCACAGGAAGAGUUGGGGCUCACAGGCACACCCUCUCCCUAACUCUUCUCCCCCGGUUCAACCUGGAUCCAGGGAUCCACACUCUGCUCCGAGAGGCCAGCACGCAGCCACUGGAAAAUGAGCCAGUGGGAGAGGGCAGCUCCAUGUUUAUUGAUCAGCAGACUAUGUCUUUUUGUUUGAAACUUCUAAAUAAGAUUACAAAAAGAAAAAAAAUAGAAGCAUUGCGUAUUAACUGCAUUGGUUAACCAACAUUGGAACCCAAUACUCUUGUAUUAGGCCCGCAUUUACCUGAGUAAACUCAGUGGUUUUCUGUCCUAAGCAUGCUUGCCUGCUACAUCCCAUGGAGAAAAUAAACAGUGAAACACUUUCCUCAUCUUCAAGGCAAUUGUCUCAGGCAUCCUCCAGGCAUCAUGAAGGAGGGUGAGCGAGGGUGCGAGGUGGAAAGGUCCAGGCCGCGGCUGUGACUCCCGCGGGUGAACCACAGCUCCACAGCCCCAAAUCCAAAGAUGCUCUUGCUGCAGCACGACAAGUGUUCAAAAGAGAACCAGGCCCAGCCCGGAGAAAGGAAAGCCAAAAGCCAACUGAAUGAAUGACCCUCCCCCAGAAGAGCAACCCUGCCCCCAGGCCAUCCAAGUGCGGUGAGUUGAGAAAUGAAUUGACAGACGCUGCAGGGCUGGAGCAGGAGGCGGAAGCAGGUUGGAAGGCUGUUGUGUGCCACCCCUCCCUGGGAGCUGGGGAGAUUCCCAAGUCUUAGUGCAGUGUUUCUCUACAAACGGGGUCAGGAGACCCUCACUGGCAGGCUGACAACUUGGAAGCAGACUGUGGGAGCAAUAGGCUGGAGUUUUCAUUUUCCCUUUAAACUCAAGACCGGAAGGUUUGUGUUAUGCGAUACCAUAUGCUGUGUAGAAAACAGGGCCUCAGCUUCUUAGAUGUUGUAGUUCUAGAGUUUAGGUACUUCCACCCUCUCUCCUAUACAUAAACACUCUGUGGAAGAGGUUCUUUGAAAAUUGGGGUGGUGCAGGAAGGGCAACGGUGAUGGUGAGCAGGCCCCAGGGUCGGCCCUGCCGCCCUGCCGUGUGGGGUAGGGAGACAGCUGGUGGUGUGGACACAUUCACAGAACUUUGUACUGGUCCUGGGAAGAUACAAGUCCUCACUUGGUCGCCAUCCCUCAUAUUUUCUAGUGUUUUCUUUUCCAGUCAACUUUUCUUGAUGAAUGACUGCAUGUAAGAGGAUAUUAAGAAAAGUGGCCAAAUGAUUUCCUUUUUUUUUCCUUUCUCUCCAAGAACAUUACCAGGUGCCAGCAGGGAAAGGACUCCGCUGCCUGACGCCUCUCCCACCUGAGAGCGCAGAGGUAGGGAGAUCACAGUGCCUGAGAGGUUUUCCUCCACGGAGAAAUCAGAGACCUCAACCUGCUGCCCUCUAAAGCAGCUUUCUGUAUCCAGACAAAACUUACAUAUGUACACGUUGUUUUAAAACGACAUACUCAUGUGACACACAUGUAUAUAAAUUCAUGUUUAUAUAUGACAAUUGAGGAGAGUUAAAGAACAAGAUAAUUCUGGAUGGAAAAAUCAGUUUGCCUGGGCAUCUGUAAACCUUUGGGCAAGUGAAUUCCCUCUUCUCUCUCAGUUCACCCUUUGGUGACCUCCACCGUGGCUGCAGACUUCAGGUGGUCCUCACGCAUUCACAGAACUGUCUGCUUAGGUUACAGCACUUUGGGAGGCCGAGGUGGGUAGAUCACGAGGUCAGGAGAUCGAGACCAUAUUGACCAACAUGGUAAAACCCCAUCUCUACUAAAAUACAAAAAUUAGCCGGGCGUGGUGGCGGGUGCCUGUAGUCCCAGCUACUUGGGAGGCUGAGGCAGGGGAAUCACUUGAACCUGGGAGGCGGAGGUUGCAGUGAACUGAGAUUGCGCCACUGCACUCCAGCCUGGG
rnacentral:lncRNA from 1 species